rnacentral:rRNA from 1 species
UACGUAGGGUGCGAGCGUUAAUCGGAAUUACUGGGCGUAAAGCGUGCGCAGGCGGUGAUGUAAGACAGAUGUGAAAUCCCCGGGCUCAACCUGGGAACUGCAUUUGUGACUGCAUAGCUAGAGUGCGGCAGAGGGAGAUGGAAUUCCGCGUGUAGCAGUGAAAUGCGUAGAUAUGCGGAGGAACACCGAUGGCGAAGGCAAUCUCCUGGGCCUGCACUGACGCUCAUGCACGAAAGCGUGGGGAGCAAACAGG